GUUUUUAGAAAAAAAACUGCUUUCUGCAUUCCAAUCCUCAACUUGUUUUACACACAACAAACUUUGCACAAAGUUUAUAAGAAUUUGAACAUCUCUUGGUACAAAAAGAAAAUUAAAGUUGAUAGAGAAAGGCCUCUCCAGUCACCAUCAGAAAGAAAUUCCUACUAGUCUGUCAAAAAGAAUUUUCAAUUGGUUCAUCCUUAUUCUCUUUUACCACUGUUCUCUUUUUUUUUUUUUCAGCUGCCAAUUUUGAUGCCACAAAUGACAUCAUCUUGCUAUUAUGCAAAGUAAUAAUCCAUUUACAGAGUUUGUGUGGACAAAUGCAGAUGGUCUUGUGUCAUUGAUAUCUGAGGGGCACCAUAAAAUGAGCUUUUGGAGUUCUUCCAGCCAUGAUAAUCCCUGCACAUGUAAUUCCAACCUAUGCUAAUCUGAAUCCAAUCCAUCCUGAGCCGCAUGCAAGCUUCUGACAUCAGAAUCCCCAUAUUUGGAUGCCAAAAAACUGUAAGACACCGCAACUGCAACAAGGACACCAAAAACCAAGGCAAAUAGCUGAAAGUUAGCAAGCAGCUCGCCUCGAACCUGACUACCCACUGAUGGACAAGUGAUCUGAUCAUUCUUAAGUUGACAGCCAUCUGGAAUCAUGGGACCAUACAAGGUGAAGGCAGUCUGAUAGAACCAGAGGCCUUGAAGAGUUAUGGCAAUGCCAUUAGACAAAUCAACAGGAAAGCUGGUUGGGAGGAGAGCUCCAGCCACCGUAGAUAAAACACAGAGUCCUAUUAGGAGGACAAGGAGGAGAUGAUAGUAUCCUUCAAGGCCCUUAUGGGUUGUUGAGUGAAAGUAAAACAGUAGAUACUCUGCACAAAAUGCUGUGGCAGCAACCAGACAAAGAGCUCCUUCUGGCAAGGGUAGAAAUCUGGUUUUCUCUGAAACCAAAGAAACAACUCCAAAUAUAAAGAACAUGAGAAGCAUCCCCGAGUGUUCAAAAUCAUUCAUGUGAUUAGGAUUCAGAACACCAUUGACAAAAAAUUUGAGGUGGGUAGAGUAUAAGAGCUCAAUACACAAAUCAAUGAAGGCACCAACCACCACGAGAUAAAGCUCAAAGUACUUGAGCUUCCCAUCAAAACCAGGCACAGGGUUCCAAACCCGAACUCGAAAGGCCUUUGGAUUUGAUACAUAUCGAAACAAAGAGCUCCAUACGUGCCAUACACCGACCAAUAGAAACAAUGUUCCUGGUAAGGCAUGACCCUUGAAAGAGCCCAUCGUUUAGUUCUAUAAUUGCUUACUACAAUCUCUGCAACCUCUUUGUCUUCUUGAU
rnacentral:misc_RNA from 1 species